AAAAAUUUAGUUAAAUUAUAACAUUAGCUUGUCAAGCUAAAAUUAUUACCCGUAAUAAUUUUUA
rnacentral:tRNA from 2 species